AGCAAGUGAAACUCAAGUGUAGAGCACAACGACAUUCCGGUGGCGCAAAAUAACAUAUUAAUUCCUUCCUUAUGGAUCUAAUCAUUGUUUCUGUACAAGUCCCGUCUCUGGCCACGGCAGCGCUCUCACUCCUUACGUCCUCCUCCUGUAUAAAAGCUAAAAUGGUCAAGUCUAUAAUUGCUUAUGGCCACACCACCUUCGGAACGCCCGAUCUCGUCUGAUCUCGGAAGCUAAGCAGGGUCGGGCGUGGUUAGUACUUGGAUGGGUGACCGCUUGGGAAUACCAGGUGCUGUAAGCAAUAUACUUUUUCAACUCGAGCUCAUUGGAUGCAAUGGCCUACCGUGCGCUGAUCUUUAGCGCCCACUGUUUUGGAGAAUUUAAGCAACAUACAGACACUGCCGACGUCUCCUCAAACUCUAUUUGUGAAACAUCUGGACAGUGUAGUGACGUAGCAGAGAGCUGCAAUGACGGCGGUCCACCUUAGUCCAUCCCAGGUUUUGCAACGCUACGUUUCUUCAAAAGAUCACGCAAACAAUGACGCCCAAGCAGUGUAAUGCAUUGCGUUCAAAUAUGUAACUCUGAGUCUGGAAUACCGUAUUCAUUCAUUCAAUAUGGAUCUAAUCAUUGUUUCUGUACUAGUCCCGUCUUUGGCCACGGCAGCGCUCUCACUCCUCCUGUAUAAAAGCUAAUAUGGUCAAGUCUAUAAUUGCUUACCGCCAUACCACCUUAGGCACGCCCGAUCUCGUCUGAUCUUGGAAGCUAAGCAGGGUCGGGCCUGGUUAGUACUUGGAUGGGUGACCGCCUGGGAAUACCAGGUGCUGUAAGCAUUAUACUUUUUCAACUCGAGCUCAUUGGAUGCAAUGGC
ensembl:lncRNA